rnacentral:rRNA from 1 species
UACGGAGGGGGCUAGCGUUGUUCGGAAUCACUGGGCGUAAAGCGCGCGCAGGUGGCUUGGAAAGUCAGAGGUGAAAUCCCGGAGCUUAACUUCGGAAUUGCCUUUGGAACUCUCAGGCUAGAGUAUGGUAGAGGAUGGCGGAAUUCCUAGUGUAGAGGUGAAAUUCGUAGAUAUUAGGAGGAACACCAGUGGCGAAGGCGGCCAUCUGGGCCAUUACUGACACUGAGGCGCGAAAGCGUGGGGAGCAAACAGG